UACGGAGGGGGCUAGCGUUGUUCGGAAUUACUGGGCGUAAAGCGCGCGUAGGCGGUUUGAAAAGUCAGAUGUGAAAGCCCCGGGCUCAACUUGGGAACUGCAUUUGAUACUGUCAGACUAGAGUACAGAAGAGGUGACUGGAAUUCCCAGUGUAGCGGUGAAAUGCGUAGAUAUUGGGAGGAACACCAGAUGCGAAGGCGGGUCACUGGGCUGAUACUGACGCUGAAGUGCGAAAGCCAGGGGAGCGAACGGG
rnacentral:rRNA from 1 species